rnacentral:rRNA from 1 species
CCUACGGGAGGCAGCAGUCGAGAAUCUUGCUCAAUGGAGGAAACCCUGAUGCAGCGACGCCGCGUGGAGGAUGAAGGUUUUCGGAUUGUAAACUCCUGUUGUUAGAGAAGAUAAUGACGGUAUCUAACGAAUAAGCACAGGCUAACUCCGAGCCAGCAGCCGCGGUAAUACGGAUGGUGCAAGCGUGACCCGGAAUCACUGGGCGUAAAGAGAGCGUAGGCGGGAUAGCAAGUCAGAUGUGAAAUCCUAGGGCUUAACCAUAGAACUGCAUUUGAUACUGUGAUUCUAGAGUAUGGGAGAGGUAGGUGCAAUUCUUGGUGUAGCGGUUACAUCCGUAGCGAUCAAGCG